rnacentral:rRNA from 1 species
UGAACGCUAGCGGCAGGCUUAACACAUGCAAGUCGAGGGGCAGCAUAAUGGAUAGCAAUAUCUAUGGUGGCGACCGGCGCACGGGUGCGUAACGCGUAUGCAACCUACCUUUAACAGGGGGAUAACACUGAGAAAUUGGUACUAAUACCCCAUAAUAUCAUAGAAGGCAUCUUUUAUGGUUGAAAAUUCCGAUGGUUAGAGAUGGGCAUGCGUUGUAUUAGCUAGUUGGUGGGGUAACGGCUCACCAAGGCGACGAUACAUAGGGGGACUGAGAGGUUAACCCCCCACACUGGUACUGAGACACGGACCAGACUCCUACGGGAGGCAGCAGUGAGGAAUAUUGGUCAAUGGACGCAAGUCUGAACCAGCCAUGCCGCGUGCAGGAUGACGGCUCUAUGAGUUGUAAACUGCUUUUGUACGAGGGUAAACGCAGAUACGUGUAUCUGUCUGAAAGUAUCGUACGAAUAAGGAUCGGCUAACUCCGUG